GGCCUUAUCGUCUAACGGUUUAGGACGUGACCCUCUCAAGGUCGAAAUACGGGUUCGAUUCCCGUUAAGGCUA
rnacentral:tRNA from 1 species